rnacentral:rRNA from 1 species
GACGAACGCUGGCGGCGUGCCUAAUACAUGCAAGUCGAGCGAAGUUUUUCUGGUGCUUGCACCGGAAAAACUUAGCGGCGAACGGGUGAGUAACACGUAAAGAACCUGCCUCAUAGACUGGGACAACUAUUGGAAACGAUAGCUAAUACCGGAUAACAGCAUUAACUGCAUGGUUGAUGUUUAAAAGUUGGUUUUGCUAACACUAUGAGAUGGCUUUGCGGUGCAUUAGCUAGUUGGUGGGGUAAAGGCCUACCAAGGCGACGAUGCAUAGCCGACCUGAGAGGGUGAUCGGCCACACUGGGACUGAGACACGGCCCAGACUCCUACGGGAGGCAGCAGUAGGGAAUCUUCCGCAAUGGGCGAAAGCCUGACGGAGCAACGCCGCGUGAGUGAAGAAGGAUUUCGGUUCGUAAAGCUCUGUUGUUAGGGAAGAAUGAUUGUGUAGUAACUAUACACAGUAG